rnacentral:lncRNA from 1 species
UAAUUAUAAAACAUUCGAGUCAAUUUUUUUAGUUGAUAGAGCCAAAGAUAUUAUAGUCAAAAGAGGUUCUUGAUGUCCUUUAUUUAACAUUUGGGGGUCAACAUGACCAUUUCCCAAACUAUAGGGGUGUAGAUAUUUUUUUUCCUAUUUUAUAAAGAAUGAAUUUCCAAAAUGGCGACAAUGAACGUUAAAACCAUAUGGGAUUACACUUAACAAAAAUAUUAACAUAAAUACGUUCAAAACAUAUGGGGUUAUCAUUAUUUAAAAAAGUAAUGAAAACAAAUAUUAUUUGUUUUGGAAUCCUUAUGGAUAUGUAUCAUUUUUUUUUAAUAUAAUUAAACAUAAAAAUGUUUCAAUCCAAGACCCUAGACUUUGUUAAAACUCAAGAAAACUUUUAAGCCAUAAAAUUUAUUGGUAUUAUGAUAUUAUACUAUUAAGCCAUCAUUAUACUAUUAAAUAAUAUGACUAAUAAAAUAUAGAAUUGUAGAUCACAUCGGUACUCUAAUUAUACAUUUUUUUAUCUUUCCUUAGAAUAAUGAUUUUUGUAGUACAUACAGAUACAUUGUCCAGUACGCUAUUUACCUAGGAAUGAAAUUCCACAGUGGUUUAGGUUUCAAAUUGUGGGAUCUUCUUCUUCUUCUUCCAUAAACUUGGAGAUGGCACCAGCACCAGCAGGUUCCUUCAGUGAUAAUAAAAACAAAGUACUCGACUUUGCUUUUAGCGCUAUUGUAGCAUUUGGGGACCAUCAUCUCAGAGAAAUGACGUAGUGUAAAUUGUUCUCUGAAGUCAAAAUCAAACCAUACCUCGGCAGAUGACUGAAAUUAAAUAUUCAUUUUGACAAGAUGUGCCCAUAUUUUUCUAAUAAAUGUAAAUAAUUUAAUAUGU